rnacentral:rRNA from 1 species
AGUGAACGCUGGCGGUAGGCCUAACACAUGCGAGUCGAACGGCAGCACAGUAAGAGCUUGCUCUUACGGGUGGCGAGUGGCGGACGGGUGAGGAAUACAUCGGAAUCUACUUUUUCGUGGGGGAUAACGUAGGGAAACUUACGCUAAUACCGCAUACGACCUACGGGUGAAAGCAGGGGAUCUUCGGACCUUGCGCGAUUGAAUGAGCCGAUGUCGGAUUAGCUAGUUGGCGGGGUAAAGGCCCACCAAGGCGACGAUCCGUAGCUGGUCUGAGAGGAUGAUCAGCCACACUGGAACUGAGACACGGUCCAGACUCCUACGGGAGACAGCAGUGGGGAAUAUUGGACAAUGGGCGCAAGCCUGAUCCAGCCAUACCGCGUGGGUGAAGAAGGCCUUCGGGUUGUAAAGCCCUUUUGUUGGGAAAGAAAAGCAGCAGGUUAAUACCCCGCUGUUCUGACGGUACCCAAAGAAUAAGCACCGGCUAACUUCGUG